rnacentral:rRNA from 1 species
AGUGAACGCUGGCGGCAGGCCUAACACAUGCAAGUCGAGCGGCAGCGCGUCCGACCACCCUCGGGUGGUCGGAUGGCGGCGAGCGGCGGACGGGUGAGGAAUGCAUCGGAAUCUGCCUCGUUGUGGGGGAUAACGUAGGGAAACUUACGCUAAUACCGCAUACGACCUACGGGUGAAAGUGGGGGACCUUCGGGCCUCACGCGAUGAGAUGAGCCGAUGCCGGAUUAGCUAGUUGGCGGGGUAAAGGCCCACCAAGGCGACGAUCCGUAGCUGGUCUGAGAGGAUGAUCAGCCACACUGGAACUGAGACACGGCCCAGACUCCUACGGGAGGCAGCAGUGGGGAAUUUUGGACAAUGGGCGCUAGCCUGAUCCAGCAAUGCCGCGUGAGUGAAGAAGGCC